AGAAAUAAUGAUACAUAGUUUGAUUGAAUUAAUUCUCUCUUUAAAUAUUACACAACAUGAUUUAUAUGGUGUUUACCCGGAAUUCUUAAAAUUGUAGGAAAAGCCCAAUAAUUCAUUUUUUUAAAAAUGUGCGUAUUUCAAACCCGGAUUAAAAACUAUUUGUCAUGCCAAAUUACAUAUCGUUGAUAUUUAAAUAAAUAGAAAUCGAUAAAAUCACUUCCUGUCAGUACUUCAAUACCUUGAUUAUUAGUUUAAUCUCCACUGAAAUGAUGCCUCCAUCUAUCAGUACUUUCAGUACUUUGAUUAUAUUAUUCAGUCUAAACCUAAUGCAAUUUUAUACAAGCUUUGAUGUAGUAUUUAUUUACAAAUUAGAACUUGUUACCGACAAAAUUACGUCCCCACUUACCAGGAAAAUUUUGGCUACCACGAGCAUUGGCUCCUAACGAAUAAAAAUGAUUCCACAGUAAUUUAGAUUAUCAAACACAUUGUUCGGUGGUUUCUGUUUUGUCAAACCAUGAUGUAUAUAAUAAUUUGGGUAAAAUCAGGUUGUGACCCAUCUGCUGAAUUGUAUCUAAAUUGACUAAUCUCUUUGAUUAGACUGAAUUUGAGAAAACUUUUGAAAAAAAAUGUUGAAAACAUCUUACGUAUUUUGAUGAUUUUGGUUACCAUGUUCGUACGCAACUGUGAAAAAUGAUCUUUAUUCAUAAACAUUUAAUGUUUAUUCACUGAAAUUCGCUUGUUCACAUGUUUGACAAAAUGACUAAAAUUGGGCCAGUUGAUCAAAUAGAACGGAUGAUAUAGUACAAGGUCCACAGAUGAUUCCAGACGUUGUUUUGCAAUUCAACAUCUUUACGUCAUUUGGUGUCCAAUUAACGACAAUGAUUAUUUGAAGUCAGAAAGAAGGAAAACUACUACAAAAGCUCUCAAAAUUUUUGCAAAGAUCACAACACGUGUGGAGAGUCUUGAUGACGUUUUUUCAGCUUUUGUGGUAUUUUGCUUGGCUAUGUAAAUCCAUGUCACACAAGUUCCUUAAGAAAAAAUUGUUACAUAAGCUGUAGCAAUCGUCUGUUUUCCACUUUCUAACGCUAAGAUAUUAUGACUUGGAAAAUUCUUUUAAUUGUGUGCAUUGUUGGAAUAAUGGUGAAUUUUCACCAAGUGGAAGGAGUUUUAGAAAAUGACCUAUAUCAAUCCCGAGUCUUCAAAGAUAUCCUUCGAAAAAGUCUCACCAGAAAUAGACGAAGCAUAAACAGAUUUUGGGAUGGAAGUUGUACGAAGAUAGGGAGAGGAGGAUGGUUUUGGGGGGAUUAGAAGAAAAACAAUUAACCAUUUAAGUGUAUCCAAGAUAUUGGAUUUCCUGACAACAUGGUGGAAUAAUACUGUGUGGCAUACAUUGAACUUUUAAACUUAGUCGAGAAGAUUUCACUCUUUUGGUUAUUUGAACUUUUGUCUGACAAAGAUAAUAGUGUGGGUUUUUUUUUUCAAAACAAAAAUUAAACAAGUGCAUCAUCUUAUUUAUAUUUUAUGGCAAUUAAAUGCUGAUUUAUAGUUGGAUUCUGUUUUUACAUGGUCCUUAAGCACAGACAUGAAAGAAUUCUGUGCGUCAGCUUAAUUUAAUUAAUUUAUUUGUACAACAUGGCAUAUAUUGGAGAUCGACAAUGGCCCAAAUAACGAGAUAAAAUAGUUUAUUACAUG